rnacentral:piRNA from 1 species
UAGUUAGAGAGACAGACUCACUGAUAGACA